ensembl:lncRNA
UUUUUCUAGAAACAAUAUUUUGUCUGGGAAAGAAAAAAAAAAAAGGAUGAUGUCAUCUGUUUCCAUUUUUAAUUCACAGAAAUAAUAUGGAAAGGAGAUGCUUAUUAUGAGAAAAAAUACAUCCACAGAAAACCCAAUUUUCCAGUACAUGGCAGUUCUGUUGUAAAAUUUCCGAGGAGACUUCAUCUGCUCAGCUCAAGUUCUUCUACAGGUUUCUUAAUGCCUCUGACAUGUCACUUCAUUUCUCUAUCCCAGAGGCAUAUUUGAAAAUAGCUUAUUUGCUGCCUGAUGAACUCUACGAUGAUAGUUUAUCACGGCUGACUGCACAUAGGAGCCUGGCACAUAUGGUUAAGAGCCAUACUUCUGAUGGCAUCUUUACUUCUUCUGAAGGCUAAUCAUAUUGGAAUGCAACUUCUUAUUAUGAAAUAGAAUACAGUAUUUGUUAGACAUCUGUGAAACCGGCAUGGUUACCAAGGCAGCCCAUGAAAUAAGCUUCUUCUGUGAGUGUCAGAUCUCUGGCAGGGGAACCAUCCUCAGCAUCACACUGCAGUUUGGAGACUGCAGCUCUGCAUCCAAACUGCGGGUCUGCUCCUCCUGGUUUCAAAUGAGAAGAUCAUGGUGGGAAGGUAUGAGCAGCAGCACUGCCAUCUGCCUGGCUGCACAGGGCCCAGAGCAUCUGGGAUCAAAUGGGGGUCUUGGAGUGCCAGAGAGGACUUAAAGAAAAAUGAAAGCAAACAACAAAGCAAACACAAAUUUUUGAUGUAAAGUAUUAUACCAACAGAAUUAUUCAAAAACCUUACUUUCUCACCUGCAACUUCUCACUAAAAUGAGGAGCAUGGGAAGCUCCUUCUUAUGUGCUGGAGGACUUGGCACUGAAGUUCUUCGCCCUCAUCCUCACUACAUGUGUGCCUGAACAUACAGCUGCAAGUGUCUUUGCUAUGGGAAUGUAUUUUGUUGACGAGUGCCCAAGGGGCUGCAGAAAGGACAUUUGGCUGUCAAGUCAAAUACCCACAGAAUAUGCUCAGGCGCUACCAUCACCUCCCAGAUUUGCUGUCUUCACUUCCAGAGGUAGCUGUCAGUUCAGUGCACCAGUGGGACAGGAUCACUGUGUGGAGUGGUUGACAAGCCCCAGAUAAGGACAGACACAAGGACACCUCUGUGCCUGGUAUAAAAAGGCUAUUACUUCAAACCUCCUGGUUUACACAGCCAGUAGCACAAGCAGGCAUUGGCACAAGACACUGCCAAUACCAGUGGUACAGUGGGAAUAACACUGCUGUAGUCAUGAGAACAUCAGCAAUGGAAAGUUUGUAAGUAGAGGCAAUGUCUGGCAUUGUGAACACUUGGAAAUGCCUGCAGUGCCAAAGUGCAGUGAGAAGCAAUGAGACAGGCCUACAGAACAGACAGAAAGCUCUUCCUCACCCAGAAUAUCCCUGGGGGCAUGAACCCGUUGCAUGAUGCAGAAGGGAGCAACAGGCAUUGCAGACAGGUUAUUUUGUCUCCAAAGCAUGAUGAGCACACAAUGUUCUGCUCUCCUCCAUCCAGCUGGUCCUCCUGCAAUGAUGACUGCAGUAUGAUCCCUGCACUCUUCCUUUCCAGUGUCCAGCCUAAGCAGAUUUACCAAACAACAGCUUUGCUCUGUUGUCCUUGCAAUUUCUUUCAACCCUGUUUGUUUGUUUGUUUGCUUGCUUGUUUUGGAGCAACUAUGUAUUACAAAAGAACAAACCUGCAUGCUGGUGCAUCUCUCCUGUCACCACAAAAUAACAGCUCUAUGGUUUCUGCAUUUCAGUCUCUCUUUUUUUUUUUUUUUCCUGCAAAGAUCAACAACUUCUGCAGUAAAAGGAUGCAGUAUAAUCAGGAGAUCAUCAGCCUGAAAUAAGUAUAAGUCUUGCAAAAAUUACGCACUCUGUGGAGAAACUUGAUGCUGUUUUUAAUAUACAAGUACACAUACUGCAAGGCCAAAUCCAUCCAUAAAAUAAGUCAACAUGAGCCUCUACAUAUCUCUUACUAAUGAUAAAAAUAUAUGUACUCUUUUCCCUUGAAAUGAGUUUUUCAAUUAAACUCCAGAUGAUUGGCAUUUUUCAUGCAUAGUGGGGGCUGCUUUUGAGGCUGCUUUUUUUCACAGAGGUCACAGCAGCUUUGCUGAGCCUGGUCUCAGGCACUUGCAACAUCACAGCCAGCUCAACGCAUUCUGCCUUUCUUGUGUUUUGGCCAACUGCUCGAUAUUCCAAAGUUGAGGAAUUAGCACUGAUACGGAAGUGAGUAUCACACACGCUGUAGCGUUAUUCUGCGAAACCACAGAGCUGAAACACACUUUUCUCUAUUCACCAAAAUGCUAACCAGGAGCCAAGUCUGUUUUUAUGCUUUCAAAUAACAUUGUGCUUUCCAUCUUCCAGGAAAGGACACCCAUUUGCCAUUGUCUGCAUCUUUCUUGGACUGUCCCAGAGCUUUCUUAAAGUGUUUCUCUCUUUUGAAACUAAAGGAUGGCUAUUCCAGCUUUAUCAUUCAAAACCUGUUAGAGCAGUCUGCUGGUUGAAACACACGGUCACCCAAGGGACUGCAGCACCACUACCACCCGAUGGGGACCAGUACAUUCAUUCCAAUGAAAUUAAGCUUUGGUAAAGAAAUCCAACAAAGUGCUCCAACCCUAGACCUCAAUAGUUCUGCCAAGUGGCAAUUUCUUGGAGUGUUUCAUGACUGCUAAUGAAUCUACAUUCACAAGCAGUGAGCAUGAACAGUGUUAUCCCCAGUCUGACCCGAUGAUUCCAGAUAAAUCUAAGAAGAACACUGACAGAAUAUCUGGCAGAUGCUUUUGUAUGAAACCAC